ACUACAGAAAAUGACUGAGCGGCGAACGGGUGAGUAACGCGUGAGCAAUCUACCUUAGUUACAGGGAUAGCCCGAGGAAACUCGGAUUAAUACCUGAUAUUCUUUAUAUUUCGCAUGAAAUUAAAAGGAAAGGUCAGCCGAACUAAGAUGAGCUCGCGUUCUAUCAGCUAGUUGGUGAGGUAAAAGCUUACCAAGGCUACGACGGAUAGCUGGUCUGAGAGGACGAUCAGCCACACUGGGACUGAGACACGGCCCAGACUCCUACGGGAGGCUGCAGCAGGGAAUAUUGCGCAAUGAGCGAAAGCUUGACGCAGCGACACCGCGUGUGGGAUGACGGAUCUAGGUUUGUAAACCACUUUCAGGAGGGAAGAAAAUGACGGUACCUCCACAAGAAGCCCCGGCCAACUACGUGCCAGCAGCCGCGGUAAUACGUAGGGGGCGAGCGUUGUCCGGAUUUAUUGGGCGUAAAGAGCUCGUAGGCGGUUCAACAAGUCGGUCGUGAAAGUUCAGGGCUCAACCCUGAAAUGUCGAUCGAUACUGUUGUGACUA
rnacentral:rRNA from 1 species